rnacentral:rRNA from 1 species
UAGAGUUUGAUCCUGGCUCAGAACGUACGCUGGCGGCACGCCUAACACAUGCAAGUCGAACGAAGUAGCAAUACUUAGUGGCAGACGGGUGAGUAACAUGUAGGUAUCUGCCCUUUGGCCUGGAAUAACACGAGGAAACUUGUGCUAAUACCGGAUAAGUCUUUACGGAGAAAGCUUUAUGCACCAUUGGAUGAGCCUGCACUUGAUUAGUUUGUUGGUGGGGUAAUGGCCUACCAAGACUGUGAUCAAUAGCUGAUUUGAGAGGAUGAUCAGCCACAUUGGGACUGAGACACGGCCCAAACUCCUACGGGAGGCAGCAGUGGGGAAUCUUGCACAAUGGAGGAAACUCUGAUGCAGCGAUGCCGCGUGAGUGAAGAAGGCCUUUGGGUUGUAAAGCUCUUUCGUCGGGGAAGAAAAUGACUGUACCCGAAUAAGAAGGUCCGGCUAACUUCGUGCCAGCAGCCGCGGUAAUACGAAGGGACCUAGCGUAGUUCGGAAUUACUGGGCUUAAAGAGUUCGUAGGUGGUUGAAAAAGUUAGUGGUGAAAUCCCAGAGCUUAACUCUGGAACUGCCAUUAAAACUUUUCAGCUAGAGUAUGAUAGAGGAAAGCAGAAUUUCUAGUGUAGAGGUGAAAUUCGUAGAUAUUAGAAAGAAUACCAAUUGCGAAGGCAGCUUUCUGGAUCAUUACUGACACUGAGGAACGAAAGCAUGGGUAGCGAAGAGGAUUAGAUACCCUCGUAGUCCAUGCCGUAAACGAUGUGUGUUAGACGUUGGAAAUUUAUUUUCAGUGUCGCAGGGAAACCGAUAAACACACCGCCUGGGGAGUACGACCGCAAGGUUAAAACUCAAAUGAAUUGACGGGGACCCGCACAAGUAGUGGAGCAUGUGGUUUAAUUCGAAGAUACGCGCAGAACCUUACCAACACUUGACAUGUUCGUCGCGACUCUAAGAGAUUAGAGUUUUCGGUUCGGCCGGACGAAACACAGGUGCUGCAUGGCUGUCGUCAGCUCGUGUCGUGAGAUGUUGGGUUAAGUCCCGCAACGAGCGCAACCCUCACUUUUAGUUGCCAUCAUUAAGUUGGGCACUCUGAAAGAACUGCCAGUGAUAAGCUGGAGGAAGGUGGGGAUGACGUCAAGUCCUCAUGGCCCUUACGUGUUGGGCUACACACGUGCUACAAUGGUAUCUACAACAGGAAGCAAGACUGCGAAGUUAAGCAAAUCCCUAAAAGAUACCUCAGUUCGGAUUGCACUCUGCAACUCGAGUGCAUGAAGCUGGAAUUACUAGUAAUCGUGGAUCAGCGUGCCACGGUGAAUGCGUUCCCGGGUCUUGUACACACCGCCCGUCACACCAUGGGAGUUGGUUCUACCUUAAGGCAAGGUUUCAAACCCUUGACCACGGUAUAGUCAGCGACUGGGGUGAAGUCGUAACAAGGUAACCAAUCGAAU